rnacentral:rRNA from 1 species
GAUGAACGCUGGCGGCGUGCCUAAUACAUGCAAGUCGAGCGAACGGACGAGAAGCUUGCUUCUCUGAUGUUAGCGGCGGACGGGUGAGUAACACGUGGAUAACCUACCUAUAAGACUGGGAUAACUUCGGGAAACCGGAGCUAAUACCGGAUAAUAUUUUGAACCGCAUGGUUCAAAAGUGAAAGACGGUCUUGCUGUCACUUAUAGAUGGAUCCGCGCUGCAUUAGCUAGUUGGUAAGGUAACGGCUUACCAAGGCAACGAUGCAUAGCCGACCUGAGAGGGUGAUCGGCCACACUGGAACUGAGACACGGUCCAGACUCCUACGGGAGGCAGCAGUAGGGAAUCUUCCGCAAUGGGCGAAAGCCUGACGGAGCAACGCCGCGUGAGUGAUGAANGUCUUCGGAUCGUAAAACUCUGUUAUUAGGGAAGAACAUAUGUGUAAGUAACUGUGCACAUCUUGACGGUACCUAAUCAGAAAGCCACGGCUAACUACGUGCCAGCAGCCGCGGUAAUACGUAGGUGGCAAGCGUUAUCCGGAAUUAUUGGGCGUAAAGCGCGCGUAGGCGGUUUUUUAAGUCUGAUGUGAAAGCCCACGGCUCAACCGUGGAGGGUCAUUGGAAACUGGAAAACUUGAGUGCAGAAGAGGAAAGUGGAAUUCCAUGUGUAGCGGUGAAAUGCGCAGAGAUAUGGAGGAACACCAGUGGCGAAGGCGACUUUCUGGUCUGUAACUGACGCUGAUGUGCGAAAGCGUGGGGAUCAAACAGGAUUAGAUACCCUGGUAGUCCACGCCGUAAACGAUGAGUGCUAAGUGUUAGGGGGUUUCCGCCCCUUAGUGCUGCAGCUAACGCAUUAAGCACUCCGCCUGGGGAGUACGACCGCAAGGUUGAAACUCAAAGGAAUUGACGGGGACCCGCACAAGCGGUGGAGCAUGUGGUUUAAUUCGAAGCAACGCGAAGAACCUUACCAAAUCUUGACAUCCUUUGACAACUCUAGAGAUAGAGCUUUCCCCUUCGGGGACAAAGUGACAGGUGGUGCAUGGUUGUCGUCAGCUCGUGUCGUGAGAUGUUGGGUUAAGUCCCGCAACGAGCGCAACCCUUAAGCUUAGUUGCCAUCAUUAAGUUGGGCACUCUAAGUUGACUGCCGGUGACAAACCGGAGGAAGGUGGGGAUGACGUCAAAUCAUCAUGCCCCUUAUGAUUUGGGCUACACACGUGCUACAAUGGACAAUACAAAGGGCAGCGAAACCGCGAGGUCAAGCAAAUCCCAUAAAGUUGUUCUCAGUUCGGAUUGUAGUCUGCAACUCGACUACAUGAAGCUGGAAUCGCUAGUAAUCGUAGAUCAGCAUGCUACGGUGAAUACGUUCCCGGGUCUUGUACACACCGCCCGUCACACCACGAGAGUUUGUAACACCCGAAGCCGGUGGAGUAACCUUUUAGGAGCUAGCCGUCGAAGGUGGGACAAAUGAUUGGGGUGAAGUCGUAACAAGGUAGCCGUAUCGGAAGG